rnacentral:tRNA from 1 species
GGUAGACGCUACGGACUUAAAAUCCGYUGACCGUAGRAGGUCGUGUGGGUUC